GUUUCUAAAGAUCUACAGAAGCAGAAAGGAAUCUUCAUAGCUGGUGGGAAAAUGUUAUUCUUCAAGGUCAACUUAGUAUGGGGAAAUAUGAUUCCCAAUGUAGACUACAACUUUGCAAACAGUCCUAUCUAUAUGGAAAAGUUUAAGGGCUGACCUGCCGGAGAGCAACAAGAACUGACUGAAUGGACCUUCCUCAUCAAGAAUUCUGACCAAACAUCAUAUUCUAGAAAGAAACCUCUACAAAGAAAGCAGCUAAUCUCUGAUAUUUGCUCAUUAAAGACCGCUACUUCUUUUGAUACUGCCCUAAUGCUGGUUUAUUAUGUAAAAAUACACCCCGCUGUCAGAACCAUGACCUAAAGGUUUAAUGAAAAGGCUGGGCCCAAAUCAGCCAGAAAGCAAAAAAGCAGCAGAUCAACUUUGUGAUAUCUUUGUCUCUUGCCAUAUGGUUCAGGGAAAUAAAGAUCCU